GGGCGGUUAGCUCAGCUGGUUAGAGCGCCUGCCUUACAAGCAGGAUGUCGGGGGUUCGAAUCCCUCACUGCCCA
rnacentral:tRNA from 2 species